CUGGAUUGUGAAUUCAUGCACAGAACCAGACCUUCUCUACACCUAAUGCCAAAAAAAGCCUGCAAAGUUCUCCUCUGUUACAAAGCAACACACAAAGCCCUCCUAGUCCAUCACCUGUUGCUCAAGGCAUCUAAGAGUAGAAACACACUGAGCCCCUGGAGCCCACACUGAGAAGCUGAGCACUGAGAAGGGACCAGGAUGUGAGGAACCACAUUAGUGGUCUUUGGCCACUAUUUCUGCUGAGCAAAAACCAGAAGGCUUAUUCCUUUGUUCUAGAAAUCAGAAAACAAGGAGAAGAAGCACUGCUUUAAUUACAUUUAGUGGUUUCUCCUAGGUACAGAGACAUGGUCAUGGAUCUUUCUAUAUAUAUAUAUAGCAGUGUCCCUGGUAUGGCAGCAUGGCUGUUUGUUCCUGAAUUAGUCAACCAUCCUAGCAGGACCUUGUAGCUAAUGACUACAAUAGCAAGUAUGGCUUUGAGUGCCACAGAGAUUCAAAACUGAUUCUUCAGACCUACGCAUGAGGCAGUUCUCCAGAUCUAUUGAGGACAUGGAAUGGUUUGGAAACCAAACUAAGGAACAAGGCACAAACCCAAUCUUUAUAGGACCAGGGAGAAAAUGCUAAGAGGAAAAAGAGCAAUUGUGGUUUUAUUCCAUCAUUAUUAGCUAUAACUUGCAAUUGCUGUGGGGUAGUUCAGAGUUUAUUCAGGUUGACAACUUGAGUCAAAAGUUUAUUUCAUUCCUGAAGCUGCAGACUUGAAAUGCUUCACGUUCUUACAUCCCAGGGGAAUCCCGUAUGCAAAAUACUUGAAAAUACAUUUUUUAUCAGAAAGAAAAAAAAAGAUUUAAGCAUUGUUGCAAGUGUUUUAUAUAUUCAUAGAAAUCUCAAACUACUAGGUUAAUUCCUGAGACUAUUUUUACCUUUUGCACUUGUGCUUAUUGUUGUCUGAUUCCAUAUUCUCUUACUGCUUGUAACCCACACUAAUCCUAUCUCACUGCAUGCAAUAAUAAAGCAAAGAAUUACCUAAGGGAUGAAAAGAACGCAUUCCUCACUGUCUUGCAUAAGGAUGAAAACAGAACAUUUCAGGGACUUCAACAACUCAUUUCUCUGAAUAGGAGCAAAGAAAUAAAAGGCAGCAAGCUUUAACCACUCCACAAAUCCCAGCUCAAGUAAGAAGCUCACAAAGGGCACUAAGGCAGGGAGACAUGUGGACACGUGCACACCAUCACCUCAUCUGCAAAAAUGGACCUGUUUCACAGCACCAGCCAGUUCAUAGAGCCAAACGCCUUCCCCAGCCCCAUGGGAAAGCAGUGUCAAGGCACAGGAACUGGGAAGUGUCCCAGGG